GACGAACACUGGCGGUGUACCUAAUACAUGCAAGUCGAGCGGACUUUCAAGAAGCUUGCUUUUUGAAAGUUAGCGGCGGACGGGUGAGUAACACGUGGGCAACCUGCCUGUAAGACGGGGAUAACUCCGGGAAACCGGGGCUAAUACCGGAUAAUAUCUUUCUUCGCAUGAAGGAAGGUUGAAAGGCGGCGCAAGCUGCCGCUUGCAGAUGGGCCCGCGGCGCAUUAGCUAGUUGGUGAGGUAACGGCUCACCAAGGCGACGAUGCGUAGCCGACUCGGGCGGGUGUGCCGCCACACUGGGACUGGGACACGGCCCAGACUCCUACGGGAGGCAGUAGUAGGGAAUCGUCCGCGAGGGACGAAAGUCUGACGGAGCAACGCCGCGUGAGCGAAGAAGGUCCUCGGAUCGUAAAGCUCUGUUGUCAGGGAAGAACAAGUACCGUUCGAAUAGGGCGGUACCUUGACGGUACCUGACCAGAAAGCCACGGCUAACUACGUGCCAGCAGCCGCCGCCG
rnacentral:rRNA from 1 species